UGUUACUACAUGCUGGCCUGUGCCACAAUCAGGUGUCACCUGUUCAAUCAGGACACACACCAUCCACCAGUGUUACUACAUGCUGGCCUGUGUCACAAUCAGGUGUCACCUGUUCAAUCAGGACACACACCAUCCACCAGUGUUACUACAUGCUGGCCUGUGCCACAAUCAGGUGUCACCUGUUCAAUCAGGACACACACCAACCACCAGUGUUACUACAUGCUGGUCUGUGUCACAAUCAGGUGUAACCUGUUCAAUCAGGACACACACCAUCCACCAGUGUUACUACAUGCUGGCCUGUGCCACAAUCAGGCGUAACCUGUUCUAUCAGGACACACACCAUCCACCAGUGUUACUACAUGCUGGUGUGAAGCCCAUUUCUGGUGUUCACUAGGUACAUGCUGGUCUCUGUCAGAUUUGCAUUGGAAGUUACAAAUCUCAGCACUACACUGUCGCAAGUGUAAGUAUAUGCAAAGAUCACUUUGUACAACAGUACCAUGUUAAAAAAGGCUUAGAUAUAAUACCAGAGAAUAAUCAGUUUCAGAUAUCUGCCCAAAUAAAUUCUAUUCUACUGACCAUCGUAUCCCACUUGCGUUGACUGAUGCAUAUGCUGUUGAUCACUGGAUUGUCUGGUCCAGACACGAUUAUUUACAGACCGACGCCAUAUAGCUGGAAUAUUGCUGAGUGCGGCGUUCAACAACUAUCUUACCAACCAACCAACCAAUUUAAAUCUAUUCAAUCACUCUGAUCUGCUCAUUAUUUGAUUCCAUUCACAGGGAAAGAAGCAUGUGAUAUGUGGUACAGUGAAAUCAGCAAAUACGACUACAACAAAGCUGGCUACUCAAAUGGAACGGGUCACUUCACACAGAUGGUAUGGAAGAGCAGCAAGGAACUGGGUGUCGGUAUCGCUAAGGGACAUGGCCGGAAGAUAUCGUUGUAGCCAACUAUGUACGCCUGGGAACUGCGGGGCAGUUCCAGAACAAUGUAUUCCCACCAAAAUAAAUGUCUUUUAUUGUGAUUGAAUAUCGUUUACAA